rnacentral:rRNA from 1 species
AUUGAACGCUGGCGGCAGGCCUAACACAUGCAAGUCGAACGGUAACAGGAAUCAGCUUGYUGAUUCGSUKACGAGUGGCGGACGGGUGAGUAAUGUCUGGGAAASUGCMUGAUGGAGGGGGAUAASUACUGGAAACGGUAGCUAAUACCGCAUAAUGUCGCAAGACCAAAGAGGGGGACCUUCGGGCCUCUUGCCAUCGGAUGUGCCCAGAUGGGAUUAGSUWGUAGGUGGGGUAACGGCUCACSUAGGCGACGAUCCCUAGCUGGUYUGAGAGGAUGACCAGCCACACUGGAACUGAGACACGGUCCAGACUCSUACGGGAGGCAGCAGUGGGGAAUAUUGCACAAUGGGCGCAAGCCUGAUGCAGCCAUGCCGCGUGUAUGAAGAAGGCCUUCGGGUUGUAAAGUACUUUCAGCGGGGAGGAAGGGAGUAAA